AGUGAACGCUGGCGGUAGGCCUAACACAUGCAAGUCGAACGGCAGCACAGUAAGAGCUUGCUCUUACGGGUGGCGAGUGGCGGACGGGUGAGGAAUACAUCGGAAUCUACUUUUUCGUGGGGGAUAACGUAGGGAAACUUACGCUAAUACCGCAUACGACCUACGGGUGAAAGCAGUGGAUCUUCGGACCUUGCGCGAUUGAAUGAGCCGAUGUCGGAUUAGCUAGUUGGCGGGGUAAAGGCCCACCAAGGCGACGAUCCGUAGCUGGUCUGAGAGGAUGAUCAGCCACACUGGAACUGAGACACGGUCCAGACUACUACGGGAGGCAGCAGUGGGGAAUAUUGGACAAUGGGGGCAAGCCUGAUACAGCCAUACCGCGUGGGUGAAGAAGACGUUCGGGUUGUAAAGCCCUUUUGUUGGGAAAGAAAAGCAGCAGGUUAAUACCACGCUGUUCUGACGGUAACCAAAGAAUAAGCACCGGCUAACUUCGUG
rnacentral:rRNA from 1 species